AUAAGGCGGCCAUGAGACCCAACCCAGAGAAGCGUCGAGUUAUUUUUCUAAUAAAUCUUCCCCACCAUAACUAAUUUUACAAAUCUAACCCUUUUACUUGCAUUUCUAUCUUUAAAAAAAAAAAAAAAAAAAAAAAAAAACUCAGCUUUGUGCCCUGCAGCUGUAAUUAAAAGCCAUCAAUGCCGCUCUCAGUUUCAUGGGACAACCCAACGUUUAGAAUAAAAACGAGCCCUUUAACCCGGGAAAGUUACACGCAAGGACUCAGGCCACAAAACUAGUUAUUUAGCAGAACAAAAACCCUCUGUGUUCACAACCUCCUCUGAGGCAAAGUAACCGUCUGAAAAUCCCAGAGAGAGAGAGAGAAAAAAAAAGGGAGUUUUUUUGGGUCGGCCCCUUCUUCCCGUCCUGUAGCGGUGGAGGAAUGCUCCAGGCCUGGGCAGAUCGGGCUUCACUCCGCUGAGAGGUGUGAGCGCGAGGGAGUAUGCCUCCAUCUCUGUGGCCAAACCGGAAUGGUGGCAUUCCUCCUAAACACAAGUGCUGCAUGAACAGGGCGAAGUUUAUGCCCAGCUAAACAAGGAAUCAAAGAGUUUUUCCAGAAUGAAUCGGCGCCACUAAGCGUCACUCAAAAACAGAAAAACAAUUAGCCAUUACAGCAAAUUAGCAAGCGAUUCUCCACACAGCUACGCCUGUUUUUUUUUUAAAAAACAGGCACGACAUUUUUAAAACCAUAUUAGGGUAUACUGCGAUUUUAUGCUAGCCAAUCAGAUUUUGAGGACAUUUUUUGAACGCAUGAAGCAAAUUCCUUUGGCUCCAGAUGACAAACCAGGACCUGGCUGACAAUGAACAAAGCCCUGCAUCCUCCCCUGAAUGAAACUAAUAAUAGUAGUUUAAAAAAAGAAAAAGAUGAUUCAACAACCACGUGGUGGUCUCCAAGAUGUGACUCGGAUGUGAAAAGUGCGCUCUGAGGACGGGGCCCGGCCGCGAGCAGAAGCCGACAAAAACAUUACCUCACUGGCCGUCCCUCGUCCUGCUGCGACCCUCGGCAGAGACAGGCCGGGGGCUUAAGUGCACGGAGCAAAGGGCGCAGAUGGCGGCGGACAAAUGUGAGCCGUCGCGCUGGCCGCGCAGAAGAAUGGGGGAUCUGUUACCGGCGGGUACCAAACGGUGGUGAUAAAUCCUGCGCCGUGCCACAAAAAGGGGUUUGGAGCGUCAGGCUCCAAAAGACAGUUGGCCUUUCUGUGACAGCUGGACGGUGAGCGGGAGGAGGACAAAAACCCCUCAACUAAACGCUCUCCUCACCUGCCCAAGUGGAGAGAAACCAGAAAGACUGCCAAUACU